rnacentral:rRNA from 1 species
GCUAUACAUGCAAGUCGAACGAACUCUGGUAUUGAUUGGUGCUUGCAUCAUGAUUUACAUUUGAGUGAGUGGCGAACUGGUGAGUAACACGUGGGAAACCUGCCCAGAAGCGGGGGAUAACACCUGGAAACAGAUGCUAAUACCGCAUAACAACUUGGACCGCAUGGUCCGAGCUUGAAAGAUGGCUUCGGCUAUCACUUUUGGAUGGUCCCGCGGCGUAUUAGCUAGAUGGUGGGGUAACGGCUCACCAUGGCAAUGAUACGUAGCCGACCUGAGAGGGUAAUCGGCCACAUUGGGACUGAGACACGGCCCAAACUCCUACGGGAGGCAGCAGUAGGGAAUCUUCCACAAUGGACGAAAGUCUGAUGGAGCAACGCCGCGUGAGUGAAGAAGGGUUUCGGCUCGUAAAACUCUGUUGUUAAAGAAGAACAUAUCUGAGAGUAACUGUUCAGGUAUUGACGGUAUUUAACCAGAAAGCCACGGCUAACUACGUGCCAGCAGCCGCGGUAAUACGUAGGUGGCAAGCGUUGUCCGGAUUUAUUGGGCGUAAAGCGAGCGCAGGCGGUUUUUUAAGUCUGAUGUGAAAGCCUUCGGCUCAACCGAAGAAGUGCAUCGGAAACUGGGAAACUUGAGUGCAGAAGAGGACAGUGGAACUCCAUGUGUAGCGGUGAAAUGCGUAGAUAUAUGGAAGAACACCAGUGGCGAAGGCGGCUGUCUGGUCUGUAACUGACGCUGAGGCUCGAAAGUAUGGGUAGCAAACAGGAUUAGAUACCCUGGUAGUCCAUACCGUAAACGAUGAAUGCUAAGUGUUGGAGGGUUUCCGCCCUUCAGUGCUGCAGCUAACGCAUUAAGCAUUCCGCCUGGGGAGUACGGCCGCAAGGCUGAAACUCAAAGGAAUUGACGGGGGCCCGCACAAGCGGUGGAGCAUGUGGUUUAAUUCGAAGCUACCCGAAGAACCUUACCAGGUCUUGACAUACUAUGCAAAUCUAAGAGAUAAAACGUUCCCUUCGGGGACAUGGAUACAGGUGGUGCAUGGUUGUCGUCAGCUCGUGUCGUGAGAUGUUGGGUUAAGUCCCGCAACGAGCGCAACCCUUAUUAUCAGUUGCCAGCAUUAAGUUGGGCACUCUGGUGAGACUGCCGGUGACAAACCGGAGGAAGGUGGGGAUGACGUCAAAUCAUCAUGCCCCUUAUGACCUGGGCUACACACGUGCUACAAUGGAUGGUACAACGAGUUGCGAACUCGCGAGAGUAAGCUAAUCUCUUAAAGCCAUUCUCAGUUCGGAUUGUAGGCUGCAACUCGCCUACAUGAAGUCGGAAUCGCUAGUAAUCGCGGAUCAGCAUGCCGCGGUGAAUACGUUCCCGGGCCUUGUACACACCGCCCGUCACACCAUGAGAGUUUGUAACACCCAAAGUCGGUGGGGUAACCUUUUAGGAACCAGCCGCCUAA